rnacentral:rRNA from 6 species
AAAUUGAAGAGUUUGAUCAUGGCUCAGAUUGAACGCUGGCGGCAGGCCUAACACAUGCAAGUCGAACGGUAACAGGAAGCAGCUUGCUGCUUUGCUGACGAGUGGCGGACGGGUGAGUAAUGUCUGGGAAACUGCCUGAUGGAGGGGGAUAACUACUGGAAACGGUGGCUAAUACCGCAUAACGUCGCAAGACCAAAGAGGGGGACCUUCGGGCCUCUUGCCAUCAGAUGUGCCCAGAUGGGAUUAGCUUGUUGGUGAGGUAAC